rnacentral:rRNA from 1 species
UACGGAGGGUGCAAGCGUUGUCCGGAAUCAUUGGGCGUAAAGGGCGCGUAGGUGGCCCGGUCAGUCUUUGGUGAAAGCGCGGGGCUCAACCCUGCGUCGGCCAGGGAUACUGCCGCGGCUCGAGCACUGUAGAGGCAGGCGGAAUUCCGGGUGUAGCGGUGGAAUGCGUAGAGAUCCGGAAGAACACCGGUAGCGAAGGCGGCCUGCUGGGCAGUUUAGCUGACACUGAGGCGCGACAGCGUGGGGAGCAAACAGG